rnacentral:rRNA from 1 species
UANCACAAUCACUUGUCCCUUAAAUGGGGACGCGUAUGAAAGGCAACAUGAGAGAAAACCUGUCUCCUAAGGAAUGCCAAUGAAAUUGAACUGCCAGUUCAAAAGCUGGUAUAAAAAAGCAAGACAAAAAGACCCUGUGGAACUUUAAUUAACUGCUUUACAUAAUAAAACCAGUAAUUUCAGUUGGGACAACUUUAGAAAAAAUAAACUUCCUAAUUUUACUAGACUAACUAGUCCAAAACAACCAUGACCCAGUAGUACUGAUUAACGAAACAAGCUACCCCAGGGAUAACAGCGCUACCUUCUCAAAGAGUUCAUAUCAACAAGAAGAUCUACGACCUCGAUGUUGGAUCAGGGUACCCAGACGGUGCAGCAGCUGUCAAUGGUUCGUUUGUUCAACGAUUAAUACCCU